CAGUCGCCACGGUAAUGCGAAGGGUGCAAGCGUUACUCGGAAUUACUGGGCGUAAAGCGUGCGUAGGUGGUGGUUUAAGUCCGUUGUGAAAGCCUGGGCUCAACCUGGGAAUUGCAGUGGAUACUGGGUCACUAGAGUGUGGUAGAGGAUAGUGGAAUUUCCGGUGUAGCAGUGAAAUGCGUAGAGAUCGGAAGGAACGUCUGUGGCGAAGGCGACUAUCUGGGCCAACACUGACACUGAGGCACGAAAGCGUGGGGAGCAAACAGGAUUAGAUACCCCCGUAGUCCCUGUCUCUUAUACA
rnacentral:rRNA from 1 species